rnacentral:tRNA from 1 species
GAAGUGGUGAUUCAGUGGUAGAAUUCUCACCUUCUGUGUGGAAGACAUGGGUUCAAUUCCCAGCCAAUGUC